UACGGAGGGUGCAAGCGUUAUCCGGAUUCACUGGGUUUAAAGGGUGCGUAGGCGGGCAGGUAAGUCAGUGGUGAAAUCUCCGAGCUUAACUCGGAAACUGCCGUUGAUACUAUUUGUCUUGAAUAUUGUGGAGGUAAGCGGAAUAUGUCAUGUAGCGGUGAAAUGCUUAGAUAUGACACAGAACACCAAUUGCGAAGGCAGCUUACUACACAACGAUUGACGCUGAGGCACGAAAGCGUGGGGAUCAAACAGG
rnacentral:rRNA from 1 species